CUCUAGGGACAUGAGGUCCAAGUUCAUCUGAUCUCAGAAGCUAAGUAGGGUUAGGCCUGAUUAGUACUUGAAUGGCAAAAAUCAGGCCUUUCUAAUUU
rnacentral:rRNA from 1 species